rfam:Puccinia sorghi strain RO10H11247 Scaffold_1270, whole genome shotgun sequence.
GUCUCCGUGGCGCAAUUGGUUAGCGCGUUCGACUGUUACUCGUGUAGUCACAUCGAGAGGUUGACAGUUCAAUCCUGUCCGGGGACG